GCUGUUCUGGGCACACCUCAGCUAUAAAAUGGUUGUCUGUCCAGGACUAUGGCUUAGUGGUUAGUGAAAGAGAAGUUAGUAUAGAAGCCAUUAUGUCUAACCAAAGAGCUGUUAAAAUUAUUUUCUGGCGGCAGCCGUUACCGAGGUGCGAACCCAGUACCUACCAGUCUUAAGUCUGAUGGCAAAACCACUACUACACAACCGAUAUUAAAUAAAUGACCUUAAGCCUGAGAAGUUCUGGGUUCGUAUCUCAGUACAGACUUCCAACCUAAGUUAUGUUUUAACUUUAAUAUCUUAGUACAGAUGUGUAAAAUACAGGCGCAGAUCCGAAGUUGGGGUAGGGGUAUUUGCAUUUAGACACACACACACACACACACACACACACACACACACACACACACCGUAAAAGAUACCUGAUCCACAUCUGUGUUCUACUGCACUUGACUGUCCUCUCACAAACCACUGAUUUCUGUCAUGAACCAACAACCUAGAUAGCUGAAGUGUAUGCUCAAGAAAGCGUGCUUGAACCUUAAGUGUUGAUUAUAAGCAGGAAAUAAUCGGAACAGCUGGAAUAUUUGUCUACGGAGGGUAUGCAGCGAUAUAUAUACAUUAAAAAGUUACCUACAACAUUCCGAAGUACACUAACAUAAAUUAUAUAAAUACAUGUUAGUCCACUUAAAAUACAUUUUAACGCACAGUUGCUGUCCUAUCCGAAAAAUACGUUAAAAGUUCACAUUCAGUUUUAAAAUGUUAACUAAUGAAGACACUAUAUAUAUUACCGCACCAUUAUUCUUAUUUUUAUACUGUCACCCUACUUAUUUUAGGCUAGUUACGAUGUUAAUUUAGUGCGAAGUAACCACAAAUGCAUGUAGUUCAUAAACAUUACAGGCCCGUAGGAACUAUAUCUGAAGUGGUGGGGGAAGAGCACAAUCUAGGAAAGGGGGUUCAGUCUCUAGUGGGGGAAAACGCCAGAUUUAUGUAUAUAUAUAUAUAUAUAUAUAUAUAUAUAUAUAUAUAUAUAUAUAUAUAUAUAUAUA